AUAGCCUCUGGCUAUAGGAAAUUGUUAGUGGCAGACGGGUGAGUAAUGCGUAGGAAUCUACCUAGUAGUACGGAGUAGCCAUUAGAAAUGGUGGGUAAUACUGUAUAAUCCCCGAGGGGGAAAGAUUUAUCGCUAUUAGAUGAGCCUACGUUAGAUUAGCUAGUUGGUGAGGUAAUGGCUUACCAAGGCUAUGAUCUAUAGCUGGUCUGAGAGGACGAUCAGCCACACUGGAACUGAGAUACGGUCCAGACUCCUACGGGAGGCAGCAGUGGGGAAUAUUGGACAAUGGGCGAAAGCCUGAUCCAGCUAUGCCGCGUGAGUGAAGAAGGC
rnacentral:rRNA from 1 species